UACGGAGGGUGCAAGCGUUAAUCGGAAUUACUGGGCGUAAAGCGUGCGUAGGCGGCCUGUUAAGUCAGAUGUGAAAGCCCUGGGCUCAACCUGGGAACUGCAUUUGAAACUGGCGGGCUAGAGUUAGGUAGAGGGGAGUGGAAUUUCAGGUGUAGCGGUGAAAUGCGUAGAUAUCUGAAGGAACACCAGUGGCGAAGGCGGCUCCCUGGACCCAAACUGACGCUGAGGUGCGAAAGCGUGGGGAGCAAACAGG
rnacentral:rRNA from 1 species